CUACGGGCCGCAGCAGUGGGGAAUAUUGGACAAUGGGGGAAACCCUGAUCCAGCAAUGCCGCGUGUGCGAAGAAGGCCUGCGGGUUGUAAAGCACUUUCGGUUGGGAGGACUGCUUCUAGCACUAAUAUUGUUGGAAGUUGACGUUACCUUCAGAAGAAGCACCGGCUAACUCCGUGCCAGCAGCAGCGGUAAUACGGAGGGUGCAAGCGUUAAUCGGAAGUACUGGGCGUAAAGCGCGCGUAGGCGGCUAGAUCAGUCGGGUGUGAAAGCCCCGGGCUUAACCUGGGAACUGCAUCCGAUACUGUCUAGCUUGAGUACAGGAGAGGAGAGUGGAAUUCCACAUGUAGCGGUGAAAUGCGUAGAUAUGUGGAGGAACACCAAUGGCGAAGGCAGCUCUCUGGCCUGAUACUGACGCUGAGGUGCGAAAGCGUGGGGAGCAAACAGGAUUAGAUACCCGCGUAGUC
rnacentral:rRNA from 1 species